rnacentral:rRNA from 1 species
UAGGGAAUCUUCCGCAAUGGACGCAAGUCUGACGGAGCAACGCCGCGUGAGUGAAGAAGGAUUUCGGUUCGUAAAACUCUGUUGUUAGAGAAGAACAGCGCAUAGAGUAACUGUUAUGCGUGUGACGGUAUCUAACCAGAAAGCCACGGCUAACUACGUGCCAGCAGCCGCGGUAAUACGUAGGUGGCAAGCGUUGUCCGGAUUUAUUGGGCGUAAAGCGAGCGCAGGCGGUCAAUUAAGUCUGAUGUGAAAGCCCCCGGCUCAACCGGGGAGGGUCAUUGGAAACUGGUUGACUUGAGUGCAGAAGGGGAGAGUGGAAUUCCAUGUGUAGCGGUGAAAUGCGUAGAUAUAUGGAGGAACACCGGUGGCGAAAGCGGCUCUCUGGUCUGUAACUGACGCGGAGGCUCGAAAGCGUGGGGAGCGAACAGG